UGGGGAAUAUUGGACAAUGGGCGAAAGCCUGAUCCAGCCAUGCCGCGUGUGUGAAGAAGGUCUUCGGAUUGUAAAGCACUUUAAGUUGGGAGGAAGGGCAUUAACCUAAUACGUUAGUGUUUUGACGUUACCGACAGAAUAAGCACCGGCUAACUCUGUGCCAGCAGCCGCGGUAAUAAAGAGGGUGCAAGCGUUAAUCUGAAUUACUGGGCGUAAAGCGCGCGUAGGUGGUUUGUUAAGUUGGAUGUGAAAUCCCCGGGCUCAACCUGGGAACUGCAUUCAAAACUGACUGACUAGAGUAUGGUAGAGGGUGGUGGAAUUUCCUGUGUAGCGGUGAAAUGCGUAGAUAUAGGAAGGAACACCAGUGGCGAAGGCGACCACCUGGACUAAUACUGACACUGAGGUGCGAAAGCGUGGGGAGCAAACA
rnacentral:rRNA from 1 species